CUUGCACUGGAAUUACACCCCAGCUUUCCUGAUUCUACAGUUUGAAGAUGGUAGAUUGUGGGACUUCUCAGACUCCAUAAUGAGGCUUCUGCAUGAUUACCAGCUCAUUGGCUGUAUCAGCAACCCGUUUUUUCUAUCCAGUGAGUGUGAAAGAGAUGAGGUUUCUACGGUCCUUAAAAAGCCUGGAUCCAUCAGCAUUGGAGCUUGGAGAGGAGUUGAGGACAAGUUGCAGCAAUCAACUCUGACUUAAACAAUAGCGAAAGGGCAUUGGUGAGGACACCAGGAAGCUGAUGAAUACACAGCCUUCAGCAACAUCGGGAGUCAGAGCUGCUCCAGGGAUCUUGGCAGGAGGGAUUUGUGGCUCUCCUUCCAGAAUGCUGUCAAGGGUGACAGAGGCCUAAGCACCUUUCAUCCUCAGGAGGAAGACUAUGACAGCAGGAGAAAGAACAAAGAAUCUUCUAAGGGGCACAGAAAAGAGAGAGUUAUUAAGUCUUCCCCACCACCAGACUAGUAAAAAGAUUCCCUAGACUGGGAGAACAGAGAGAGCCAGAAGUUCUAUGCCUGAAGCUUUCCAAUGACAAAAUAAGAAUUCCCCAUGGCAGGUGAAUGGGUAAAUGAUGGAAGUGUCCUAUGCAUGAAUUAUUAUGUAGCCUUUAAAACGAAUGCAUUAAAUCUAUGCCAGUUCAUUUGGAGGGGGCUUCUGGUUUACAACACCAGCGAGAUGUAGACAAAGAUGCUACAAAAUUCCUUUUUGUAGAACAAAUGAUGCCCAGCCCCCAUUAUUAACAUAGACAUUUGCAUGUUUGCAUACAGUUGCAUGAGCAUGGGCAAAAAGUAUGAAAAGAUACACUUUGCUUCCUAACACUAUUUACCUGGGGAGAGAAAAUAAGUGGGAGGAAUAGAAACUUAAAAAGUAUGCACAAUAAAAAAGCAUUUGUGGCAAUUCCAUUUAUGUGAUAUUCAUAUGUAUACAUACGUGUGUGAAUGCGUAUGUGUGUAUGAAAAGAUUACCACCAACUCAAAUGGUACAGAUAUGUAUGAAGAAACUCAAGAUAAAUAAUAGUAACAUUUUGAUUAUUGAGUUUCCUUAUAGUUAUCUAAAUUGUUCAAAUUAUUUUCUCAAGCUUCAUGUAUUUUCCCACUUUUAAGCAGGCAAUAACAGAAACUAUCUUAAAGAUAACACAUUUAAAUUUACUGACACACAGUAGGCACCUAAUAAAUAGUUUAAAGAAAAUAAGUAUAAUUCUCAAAAUUCAAUAAAGAUCUUGUCAUUGUGGAGACAAAAAGAACCACGCUUGGAGAGAAGCCAGAGAUAGCUGAGAAGAUGCUCACUCUGUCUUCUCCUUGAAAGAAAAGCCAACACAGAUUUAAGAGGUCCAAAAAUGAUAGAGAGGAAGAGAGAGAGAGAGAAAGAUUUUCAACCUGCUGCUUUUCAACCAAAACAUUGCAGCAA
rnacentral:lncRNA from 1 species